rnacentral:rRNA from 1 species
AUUGAACGCUGGCGGCAGGCCUAACACAUGCGAGUCGAGCGGUAGAGAGAAGCUUGCUUCUCUUGAGAGCGGCGGACGGGUGAGUAAUGCCUAGGAAUCUGCCUGGUAGUGGGGGAUAACGUUCGGAAACGGACGCUAAUACCGCAUACGUCCUACGGGAGAAAGCAGGGGACCUUCUGGCCUUGCGCCAUCAGAUGAGCCUAGGUCGGAUUAGCUAGUUGGUGGGGUAAUGGCUAACCAAGGCGACGAUCCGUAACUGGUCUGAGAGGUUGAUCAGUCACACUGGAACUGAGACACGGUCCAGACUCCUACGGGAGGCAGCAGUGGGGAAUAUUGGACAAUGGGCGAAAGCCUGAUCCAGCCAUGCCGCGUGUGUGAAGAAGGUCUUCGGAUUGUAAAGCACUUUAAGUUGGGAGGAGGGGCAGUAAAUUAAUACUUUGCUGUUUUGACGUUACCGACAGUAUAAGCACCGGCUAACUCUGUGCCAGCAGCCGCCGUAA